AUUGAACGCUGGCGGCAGGCCUAACACAUGCAAGUCGAGCGGAUGACGGGAGCUUGCUCCUUGAUUCAGCGGCGGACGGGUGAGUAAUGCCUAGGAAUCUGCCUGGUAGUGGGGGACAACGUUUCGAAAGGAACGCUAAUACCGCAUACGUCCUACGGGAGAAAGCAGGGGACCUUCGGGCCUUGCGCUAUCAGAUGAGCCUAGGUCGGAUUAGCUAGUUGGUGGGGUAAUGGCUCACCAAGGCGACGAUCCGUAACUGGUCUGAGAGGAUGAUCAGUCACACUGGAACUGAAACACGGUCCAGACUCCUACGGGAGGCAGCAGUGGGGAAUAUUGGACAAUGGGCGAAAGCCUGAUCCAGCCAUGCCGCGUGUGUGAAGAAGGUCUUCGGAUUGUAAAGCACUUUAAGUUGGGGGGAAGGGCAGUAAGUUAAUACCUUGCUGUUUUGACGUUACCGACAGAAUAAGCACCGGCUAACUCUGUGCCAGCCGCCGCUGUAAUAC
rnacentral:rRNA from 1 species